rnacentral:rRNA from 1 species
GCAGUAAGGAAUAUUGGUCAAUGGACGCAAGUCUGAACCAGCCAUGCCGCGUGGAGGAUGAAGGUCCUCUGGAUUGUAAACUUCUUUUAUUUGGGAAGAAACCCACGUUUUCUAAUGUGGUUGACGGUACCAGAUGAAUAAGCACCGGCUAACUCCGUGCCAGCAGCCGCGGUAAUACGGAGGGUGCAAGCGUUAUCCGGAUUCACUGGGUUUAAAGGGUGCGUAGGCGGGUUGGUAAGUCCGUGGUGAAAUCUCCAAGCUUAACUUGGAAACUGCCGUGGAUACUAUCAAUCUUGAAUGUCGUGGAGGUAAGCGGAAUAUGUCAUGUAGCGGUGAAAUGCUUAGAGAUGACAUAGAACACCAAUUGCGUAGGCAGCUUACUACACGAAUAUUGACGCUGAGGCACGAAAGCGUGGGGAGCAAACAGGAUUAGA